UACGUAGGGUGCAAGCGUUAAUCGGAAUUACUGGGCGUAAAGCGUGCGCAGGCGGUUAUGUAAGACAGGUGUGAAAUCCCAGGGCUUAACCUUGGAACUGCAUUUGUGACUGCAUAGCUAGAGUACGGUAGAGGGGGAUGGAAUUCCGCGUGUAGCAGUGAAAUGCGUAGAUAUGCGGAGGAACACCGAUGGCGAAGGCAGCCUUCUGGGCCAACACUGACGCUCAUGCACGAAAGCGUGGGGAGCAAACAGG
rnacentral:rRNA from 1 species